CCUACGGGUGGCAGCAGUGGGGAAUAUUGGGCAAUGGGCGCAAGCCUGACCCAGCAACGCCGCGUGAAGGAAGAAGGCUUUCGGGUUGUAAACCUCUUUUCUGAGGGACGAAGAAAGUGACGGUACCCCAGGAAUAAGCCACGGCUAACUAUGUGCCAGCAGCCGCGGUAAUACGGAGGUGGCAAGAGUUAUCCGGAUUUAUUGGGUGUAAAGGGCGUGUAGGCGGGAAAGCAAGUCAGAUGUGAAAACUCAGGGCUCAACCCUGAGCCUGCAUUUGAAACUGUUUUUCUUGAGUGCUGUAGAGGCAAUCGGAAUUCCGUGUGUAGCGGUGAAAUGCGUAGAUAUACGGAGGAACACCAGUGGCGAAGGCGGAUUGCUGGACAGUAACUGACGCUGAGGCGCGAAAGCGUGGGGAGCAAACAGGAUUAGAUACCCCGGUAGUC
rnacentral:rRNA from 1 species